rnacentral:rRNA from 1 species
UACGUAGGGGGCAAGCGUUGUCCGGAAUCAUUGGGCGUAAAGAGCGUGUAGGCGGCCCGGUAAGUCCGCUGUAAAAGUCAAAGGCUCAACCUUUGAAUGUCAGUGGAUACUGCCAGGCUAGAGUCCGGAAGAGGCGAGUGGAACUCCUGGUGUAGCGGUGGAAUGCGCGGAUAUCAGGAAGAACACCAACGGCGAAGGCAGCUCGCUGGGACGGUACUGACGCUGAGACGCGAAAGCGUGGGGAGCGAACAGG